CUGCAGCUCUUCCAGACUGAGACAUCUACUUGCAUAUUAACAUCAGCUCACCACCUUCCCUGUUCACCAAUGAGAGGGCUUUUGCUGGUCGCAGACUGACAAUACAUAGGCUGUAGGGAGAGAAGAGGGAGUGGAAUGGAAAGAAGUGAAAAGUCCGCAUUUGGAUGAGAAGAACGUGGCCCCACCCAGUUAAAGCUGGGGACGGAGUUGCUUGCACAA
rnacentral:lncRNA from 1 species